rnacentral:tRNA from 1 species
GCGGAUAUUGCAUAGUGGUAAUGCCCCAGUUUUCCAAACUGGAGAGACGGGUUCGAUUCCCGUUAUCCGCU